rnacentral:lncRNA from 1 species
UUAUAGAAAUUAUAUCAAGCUGAUUUUUGUUGUCUCAAGACAGCAACUCCUCACGUAGAUGUUGGCAAGCCUGCUGUCCAGUUAUUGGUGUGGGGCAUUUGCAAUGUAACCCUUAAAGAUGAUGUUCAGUUAUUUGCAGAAAAGGUCCUGAAAUAGUGACUGACUUCUGCUGAGCACACUGAAUGCCACAAUCUUGAAAAAGAUUGAACAUGCAGUAAUUACACAGAAAAAUCUUUGCUUUCUUUUCAAGGCACAGCAGAGAUAGGCUUCUGAACAUGACUAUAUGUCAUACAGGGAAAGGUAUGUCUCCUACAAAACUGUUUGUAUGUCUAUGUUUCAAGUGUCUUCAUCAUUACUGUGGAUCACUGUUCUUUGAACAGCUUCCUAUUUCCCAGGUGUUAGCUCAAAUUUAGAGAGGACAAAAGGAAGUGAUAGUUUCUGAAACAAGUACAGUCAGAGACCAUAAAGCAGUGUCAAACUUCCCCUGCCCUGACUCAUUUUAAAUACAGAUCAGAGAGGUUUCCUAUUCCUUCAAGAGGCCAUUCCAUUGAUGAAAGAAUGACUUGGACCAAAGCCCAGGGUGCCUUUGAAUGCUUAAUUUGUUCAUUUAGAAAUUUUUAAUAUUUAUUAAUUCUUUAACUUCAUUCUCCUUUUAAGGAUGGAUGUAUCCACUGUACUAUGCUGAGGAAUGUUGGAAAUGUAUUCCAGGAUUCCAGGGGUAUUUUGAGUAGUACAUUUCAAUUCAAACUCAUUACUUUACAUCCCUUCUUGGCUUGUAAAUGCAUGAAAAAAAUUAAAUUAAUUUGGUAAAUCACCCUCUGAGUUGGUAUUUCUAACUUGGUGAAAGGCGUGGGGUCCAAGUAUUGCACAAUGACAUAAAGCAAGUCAGAGAAACAAAAGAGAGAUGACAAAACUUUGUGGGAGGAAAAGGUAAUCUGUAACAACAUUUUUCCAAUGCAAACGUAAUAUGCUUUUCUAGAUAUUUAGGUAAUAAUUACCUAAUUAUCUUUCAACAAUCUAUCCCUUAUUCCUGCUCCUUUUGGUACCUGACAUUAAAUUUUUUAACUGCAAUGCUGUGGAAGUUAUGUACACACAUUACUACAGUUUGAAACUCUUUAAUUAGUUGCCUGGAAAAGAAAGAUAAUGUCUUAUUGUUUAUCUGGGGUUAGUCAACUCAUUCUGUGUUUGGAGAUAAUCACCUUCACUCUGGAGGGAGAAGAUAUCCUGCAAUUAGCACAGAGCUAAAACUAGUCCUUUGAUCCAGGGGAGGUGGUGAUUCCUGAAGGCAGUAACACAUUCCAAGUCUCAGCUAUCAUUAGAGCCUGUUAGACACUGCAAGACUCCAUUUUAUGAGGUUAUUCUUUAGUGUAUUUUUAGAACUGCCUUCUCCAUUAAUUGUUUCAUAUUGCAGUCUUAAAAUUCCUCCUGUCUGCAGGAUUCAUUAGCAGUGUCAUUUUCCUGCACACACUUACGCAGGCUUUGCAUGUGGUCUCCUAGGAUGCACAGACCUUCCUCCUAUCUAAGGAUCUGGCAUUCUCAGCCCAUUAACUCAGCUUCCAUACUACCCUGCGAAAAUCUAGCACAAUGUUGCACAGUGUUGCACUGGGAAAGGCUGAGCCCAUAUCUUCUUAUCUUUAAACUUAAGUAUGAGGUGAAAAUGUCACCAUUCCUCUUCAUCAUCAUCACCUGUUCCCACAUUGAUAGCUAGGACCCAAAGAGCUGGCUCUUGACUGAAAGAAAUGUUUCCAAGUGUAGGUCUGGACAAGUCACUUAAUCUUAGUGUAUUUUACUCAACCCUGUAGAGGCUGCAGAGCACUGUCUAUAUCUUAGUAAUCCUGUAUUGGCAUCUACUUCUGUAGAAGAGAUGCAUUUAUUUUUAAUAAAAAUGCAUUUGACUAAACAUUUUUUCUGAGAAUGCUUGAGUCUGAUUUUUCAAUACCUUUUGUGUCUGUACAUGGUUGUACUUUGGAAAGAUCACCUACUUCAAAUGGGCUGUGCCAUCUUUUUCCAUCCUGUUGCUGGAAUACAGCACCAAGUUGCAUGGUGACAUUUCUCUUUGCAGUAUGGUUUAGUGGACAUGGUUGUAUUUGGUCAAUGGUUGGAUCUUAGAAGCCUUUUCCAACCUUCAGGAUUCCAUGCUUCUAUAAUAAGUGAGGUGCUGCUUACAGUGAGCAUUUGAGGGCCUGUUUUAUCUCAUGUCAUGUCCUGACUCUGUCCAAACAAAGCCCUUUACAAUGCACCAGUUUCAUCUUUAAUACAGGUACCAUGUACAAAAGUUCAGUGUUCUUUUGAUCCAGGCCAGAUUUCUUUGGUAACUGUGGGAAAACUAAAGUGCUUGCAGGUAGAGUGGAUGAGGUACAACAGACACAAGUUAUAAUAAGACGAAUAUAAUGUCUCACUGGACAUUAAAAAAAACACCACAAUCACUUGAAAGAGGUUGGCUAACACACUCUUGGAUUCUCCCUCUUUAGAGACUGUCAAAGAUCAAUGGGACAAGGCUCUGAGCAAUGCAAUCACUGAUGGCCCUGGUUAGAGCAGGGGUUAUACUGUCAGACCUUCACAGGACCAUUCUGUUCUAAGUCAUUCCAUGAUUCAAUGAAUUAGCAAUUGUGAGUGGAGUGCAGCUCUCACAUGAAAUCCUGAGUUCUACAUUUAGAAAGUUUAGGCGCACCUAGGUGGACUAAGGAGGAAGAAUGUAUCAUGUCAGCAGAGCAUUUUCUCAUCAACACUCACCAGGUACUGACUUUAGCCCUCAUUACUAGCCAAAAGAGCUGCAAGGUCUGCUUUCAAAGUUUGUGGUUGACGAGUAAAUACUCCUUAGGAAGAUAUUUAAUUUCUCCAUACAUCAAGACAAAAUGUCAUUGGAGAGAUAGAAAAACCUAUGUAUGAAUCCUUAUAAAACCAUCUGCACAACUAAAGAAGUAUUUUGAAGCAAAAUAAAAUGAAAUAUUGUUCUGCCAAGCUCUGUUCCACUCCAUGAAAAUAGACAGGAGAAUUAUUUUUUUUCUGUAAGUGGAAAGUAUUACCCUUUUACUUUGGUAUGUGUAUAUGCAGUGCUAGAUAAACAGAUUACAGUUAGGGAUAUACUGACUCCAAUUUCCAAAGUUAAUAUGCAUGUAACUUGGAUAGAUCUGGCAGAUCACCACAUCUUUUUUCCUGUAUAUAAAAGCCUUGAAAAUGAUAAAGGCAUACAAAAUUCAAAGUAUUUGCUGUUUCUGACUAGAGGUCUUAAUAAUUGCAGUCCAGUUUUACUGGCAGAAUAUUAGUGGUAAAUGACAUUCAUCUGAGAUCUUGACCAGUAGUAGGUCAUUCCACUGAUUUUAUUUAAGCACUCUUCAUGUGGAAGAGGUUGAACACCAUAACUGGAAAAUUAAUGAUGUUUUUGAAUUUCAACUAUUAAUAGAUGCCUGAAAACAGUAUUGCUGCUCUAGUAAGAAAAAUGUUUAUAGCUUCUGGAAAUGGGGCUUGGUGGGAUACACUGCUACUUUACAGUUCAAGAUAAGCAACCAUAUUUUAGUUAAUAAUCCUGGGAGUCAGCCAGCCUGAUCCUUUUUUAUUCAUAAACUUGAUUCUCUGUAAGCCAUAUAUGUUGUUAUCUCAGGACAGUUGGAGGGAUUUUGGUUGUAUAUAUAGCAAAAAUUAUUCAGUCUUGGGAGCAAAGACUUCUACAUUCUAAGAAUAUUUAUAUAUAGUGUUUUGGGGCUCUGGCCAAAAGGAAAGACAUCUUUGUGUUAAAAUCAGCUCAAGGAAUUGUGGUAUAAUUCCUCACUUUAACAAUUGAGAUAAAAUGUAAAGUGAAAAAUUUUAACACCUCAAGAAUUCAUGGGGGAAUUCUGAUUGUUGCUAUGAGCAGUCAUUUUACAAUAAAUGUCUCUAUGCAGCUAUGUCUGUGUUGAAAAGGCUUCCAGCAUGUGCCUACUUGAUUUAAAGGAUUUAUAUAUGCCAGGAUUGCAUGUAGCUUACUGUUCUCUCUCUGCAUUGGAAUCAUCCCGAGUGUGUUUGUGCAGGAGUCCUUCUCAUCUAAUUGCCUUGAAGGGAUAUCUAGAGUGAUUAAUCAUAAUGACUGUAUUUUGAUAUGGGCAUCUGAGAUGCAUUUUAAUGUGGCUUUUGAAAACUGUGUAGAGCCAGUGUGUUCCAAAUGCCUGCAGAAGGCAAGGGUCUGUUGCAUAGCAAAUUCCUGAUUGGAUAUAUUGCUGUCUCAAGCUGUCUAUCCUAUCUCUCUGCUGCUGCUUCUCAUCCUUGUAGUUCCAAAGGUCAGCAUAAUCUGAUGUAUGCCUAUAUCCUUGUUGGUCCAUCUUACCACCCCUGUAGCUGUCCCAGAUCUCAAGCGAGCAAUCAAAAAGAAUGUUUCUAGAUUUGGAAACUGGCCUCUGUCAAGAAAUCAUCAUCUCCUGGUAUACACAGCCUUAAAAGGCACACUGUCACCGGUGCAUGCUUUGAGGAGGAAGAACACUGCUGAUGCCAGAGCUGUGUGUACCAUAAACUCACCCAUUGUCUACGCAGCUUUUUGUUAUUUGCCUCUUCCUCUAAGCGUCCUGCAUUGGCCAGUGUCAGAGUCAGGAUAUUGGAUAAGAAGGAAGCGGAAAGGUGAGUCAAUAUCAGACAUGGCCUGACUAUGGCUGUACUCAAACGUACUCUGAUCAAAACAGUCAGCUGAGUUAAAGGUCUUACUAGUUAAGGUUAAUAAUAGCCCCUAUUUAAACCAAUAAUUCCUCCAUGCAUGUGGUUUGCCUGAGGGAUUAGCCAUAUAAAUGCUAUUCCCAAGUUAGACUUAAUCAUUUGCUUAAUAUACACUUUUCUUUGUACUUUCAUCAGCUUCCAACUCAACACUGAAGAACUGUGAAACUGUUGAGACCAAAUCCAAAUAAUUUUGUUGAGGUCAAUCAUUCCAGUGGUUAAAAAAAAAAAAAAAAAGUGUUCUUAAGCAGGCACUUUUUGGUUCCCUGUGUAACAUUGUUGUGGUUUAGAGCAAAUCUGGGAGAAAACCUCUGGAAGGAGCCCCCCGAAAGCAAACCCCCACGGCCCCUCCCCCCACCUGGUUUGGGAAGAAUUUCCUUGGAGAGAAAUGGAAAAAAACCUGUUUAUUUAACAGGCAAAGCACUCCCCAGCACAAAAAAUAAUGAACAACACCAGAUGACAAAACUCUUCCACCACUCUGAAGAGAUGACAAAUGCAGAAAGUCUCUCCUGGGAGUGGUCGCUCUGUUAUCGGUCCCUCCGGCACUGGGAAUGGCUGCUGCAGGCCACAAAGUGUGAACUCUCGGUGCUUCCCAGGUCCCAGUCUGGAGUAGGUUAGAAUGGUUCCAAGAAAAGGGAAAGAAAGACAGUCUAGGGAAAAUUCAGACUGCCUAGCUAAACUAACAAGGAAAAAAAAAAAAAAAAAAAAA